CAGAGCCCAGCCCUGGCUUCUGUCGUGUCCUGUUUAUUUCCAUAAGUAGUGUUCAUAGGUAGCUGGAAUAAGUACUGUGCCCUGGCACACUGGGCCAUGCUUUGCUGUAGCACAGGAUGUACCAGCUGCUACGGAAAUACUGGGGAAAAUGGGGACCUGCUGCCAAAUGGGAUGGGGCCCAUGUAACAAAGGACACCGAAAAGGCAAAGUGAUCACUUCAAAAGACCAAUGCACUGAAAUGUGGGAGUUUUUAAGCUGUACCAGUCACACAUGCAUUGGGUAUUCACGGGUGACAUUUGUAAGUGAUGCUUUGCUGUUAUCCUGCUUUGUCUUCCUUCUGAGGCAAACCCCUCCAAACAAGCCUCCCUUGGAAAACUAUGGACUAUAGCUACUAUUUUCACUGAAGACAAAGGCCUUACCAGAAUAAUUUGAUAAUUUUCUGAUGAUGUUAACCACCACAGCUGGACCAUUUUUGCACUUAGACGACAGAAAAUCCAGUGAACACAUUUACUGAAGUUCAAAUCAAAGAAAGAAGUACCAGCAGACAUACUUCAUGAAAUGAGUUGAUCUGACAACCUCUGACAGCACAGACUCUCUUUUAAUACAAUGGAUAUGAUCUGCAUGUGGAAGUCAAUUUCAGGAGAUCCUACCAGGACAUUUCCCUUACUUACAUUUUAAUCAUCCAAUAAGAGAUUUGGGUGAAGAGAGAGUCACACAAUGUUCUGGGUGUUGGUGGUGAACCUACAGAAAGAACAAAACCCGUAAGAAAUGCUGUCUUAACCAGACUCAAAAUGCUCUGUUAGAAUGAUGAUCUUAAAAGAACACUGGUCAAUCUCUGCAUUCAAAACUAAAUGGAGAAAAAAAAAAAGAAUUGCAAACAGACAAAUGCUAAAUCAUGCUUGUGUUUACAGAUCAGUAUUGACAACUGCAAAUGAACCUGAAAAUCAGUUAGAAAGUAAGACAUUCCUUGGAGAACAAAUAUCUUCAGUUUUAUAUAUGACAGAAGUCAAGUCCUUGGGACUCCUAAUUUCUAAGUAGACUUACAGGGGCAGGUUUAGGCAGAAUACCUCAUAGUAGUAGUAGAUGGAAGGGUUAUUUCCAGCCUUCAUCCCCCUAGGAGUGGCAUGCUGGCUAACCACAGUCAGAUAAACAAGGUAGAAGAGAAUGAGAGUUUUAAUGCCUUGGAGGUCCCAAUGGGCCAGUCCCGUAUGAGUAACUUUAAUUUCUGUUGGAUGUUUGUGGAGCCUCUUCUCAGCAGCAAUGCUCUGCAUGUCUGCAUAGCACAGAGCUGAAUGCAGAUGCAAAGAGUUCUUCCAUCAGUCCCUUCAUUUCACCUGGUCUUCAGCUCACAGUUAUUAAAGAGCUUAUUGAGCUACCUAGAAAAAACUCACAAAUAAAUUAUAUAAUUCGAAAAGAUGUAUUUAUAAUAUUCAUAGUAGUUUCUCUUAUAUAAUUAUUUCAUAUUCCACUUGAUGAUGUUUGGAGUUUACCUAAGUUUCUGUGUUCAGAUACAAGCUAGUAAGUAGAAAACUAUAAAAUUGUGACUAUGUUAGAACUAAGAAAUAAAGAAAUAUAUAUGCUCACCUUCAAAGUGUCACUCUGGUACAUUUUGC
rnacentral:lncRNA from 13 species